AAUCAACGCUGGCGGCGUGCCUAACACAUGCAAGUCGAACGAGAAAGUGGGGGCAACUCCACAAGUACAGUGGCAGACGGGUGAGUAACACGUGAACAACCUACCCUUGAGUGUGGAAUAACACCGCGAAAGCGGUGCUAAUACCGCAUGACAUCUCCGGGCCGCAUGACCUGGAGAUCAAAAGCGAAAGCUGCUCAGGGAGGGGUUCGCGCCUGAUUAGCUAGUUGGUGAGGUAACGGCCCACCAAGGCUGCGAUCAGUAGCCGGCCUGAGAGGGCGAACGGCCACACUGGAACUGAGACACGGUCCAGACUCCUACGGGAGGCUG
rnacentral:rRNA from 1 species